GCAGCAGCCGCGGGAAUACGAAGGGGGCUAGCGUUGUUCGGAUUUACUGGGCGUAAAGCGCACGUAGGCGGACUUUUAAGUCAGGGGUGAAAUCCCGGGGCUCAACCCCGGAACUGCCUUUGAUACUGGAAGUCUUGAGUAUGGUAGAGGUGAGUGGAAUUCCGAGUGUAGAGGUGAAAUUCGUAGAUAUUCGGAGGAACACCAGUGGCGAGGGCGGCUCACUGGACCAUUACUGACGCUGAGGUGCGAAAGCGUGGGGAGCAAACAGGAUUAGAGACCCCAGUAGUCCCUGUCUCUUAUAC
rnacentral:rRNA from 1 species